GAUGAACGCUGGCGGCGCGCCUAACACAUGCAAGUCGAACGAUUAAAGCACCUUCGGGUGUGUAUAAAGUGGCGAACGGCUGAGUAACACGUGGGCAACCUGCCCCUUUCAUUGGGAUAGCCACGGGAAACCGUGGAUAAUACCGAAUACUUCGAGACUUCCGCAUGGAAGACUCGAGAAAGCUCCGGCGGAGAGGGAUGGGCCCGCGGCCUGUUAGCUUGUUGGUGGGGUAACGGCCUACCAAGGCAAUGAUGGGUAGCUGGGUUGAGAGACCGACCAGCCAGAUUGGGACUGAGACACGGCCCAGACUCCGACGGGAGGCAGCAGUGGGGAAUCUUGCACAAGGGGCGAAAGCCUGAGGCAGCGACGCCGCGUGCGGGAUGAGGCCUUCGGGUUGUAAACCGCUUUCAGCAGGGACGAGGCGAAAGUGACGGUACCUGCAGAAGAAGCCCCGGCUAACUACGUG
rnacentral:rRNA from 1 species